UUUAAUAAACCUUUAUCAGAUGUUUAGUGUUGGCUAAUUCACUCAGACUAUCUUGAAAAUGCAGCUUUUUUGUUAAAAUGUUUGCAAAACAAGCAUCAUUUAUGAUACCAUUGUUAUGAAAUAUGUUGUUAAAACGCAAUCUUCACAAACAGUUUUAGAGAUUUCAGUCCCUCCCCAUUCAAGUUGACAGGAGCUAUUAUUGUAGAAUGCUCAUAUGGCCGGCGAGUGAAUCGACUUCCCUUUAAAGGAACUUUUCUAACAGAAGGCAUCCAGUUUGGUGUCAUUUGAGUGAGCUGUACGCACUUCGAACUGGAAGGCCCCUUGAUUUAAAGAAAGAAUGUGAUACAAGUUAGGAACAACAUGAGGAGCCAGUAUUUUUAAGCCAAAAUAGCUCUAGCCUACACACUGCUGAGAAUACAACUUGAGGAGCGAGGACAAGAAUGGUUGAAGGAGCAGCUCAACCACUUUACAAGCACAGACAUGAAGAACAUCAUCUUUGAUUUCUUUAACUAUUGCCAAGGGGUUGAGUAGGCAACGUUCACUGGUCAAAAGUGCCGAAUGCUUAAUAAAAGUAAAACGCUAGAUUGCAUGGUCACUAUAUCGGAGGCGUCCAGUAAGGAAUGCAAUAACAUUCUCUGUAUCAGACACUCAAGAGGCUUAAUACUAAGCCUCAAUAAUGGUUUUGGCAGCCUAACAGAGAGAGAACACAUUAGAAAACACACAAACAGCAAUUAUAAAACCAAGCUAUUAUAAAGCCAUUACUAGAUCUUCCAUCUCUAAUCACUGUCACUGCUUCACCACAGAAGUACUGGAAAAUGGUUAACCCUACACAGAAAUAUGAAAUGGAGAAUCAGAGCAAACCAUGUGAAAAUGGAUUUCCUCCUUGCUUUUGCUUGAUGAAUAGCAAGUAAAAGAUAAAUGCUACCAUUUGUACAUUUCUAGAUAAGUUGUAUUUCACUUUUAAAAUCUGUUAUGAAUAUGUCUAAUACUGU